CGCACCGGCGGCCAUUGCGGGGCACCGCGGCGGCAGGGCACCCCCCAGCCCUCAGGGACACCCUCCCCGCGGCCAUCGCCCGCCCCGCGUUACCGAGCUGCUGCCGCGCGGCCAUGGCGCCGUCGGAGUACUGACAGGAGUUUCAUCUAUGGAAAGUCCUCUCGCAGAGCUUCCACACGGGCAGAGGCAAAGCACUCAUUUAAGAAGUCUGAGUUAUUUAAGCGGGAAGCAAGGAAGUACAUUGUUCUGAUAUCUGCUGUCUCCCUUGAGGAUGCUGUUUGCCAGGCACUGGGCCUCAGUUUCUCCAGUCUCCCAGAGACCACAGUCUUGCAAGAACUUAUCUAUGCCCCUUACUGAGUACUAUGGGAUUAAUUACUGCUAAAGUCUCCUGGAGGCUUCAAGUGCCCUGUCUCAGAUGCUGCACAACAGCAGAGGUCUGUAAGGCAGAGGAAGUGGAAAUCUGUGCAGUACCUGGACAUGGACAGGAGUCCACCUCGAAGUCCCGCUGCUGGUCUGCUGUUGUCAUUUGUGCAUUUUGAAGCUACCCCUAACAAACUUGCCCAGCUUCACAGGAGAAUUUCCUGCCUCCACCCAGGCCCUUAGACCCCUGUCUGCUACGCUCGUUUGCUUCAUGUUUACUUAAUUAGCCAGCUGGAGCAUAAUUCCUUUCAUGAUCCACGGUCUAAUACAUAAAGAUGACAGUGACAUGAAUCUUGGCUUAGGUUUCAAUUUGCAUGUUAAUUCAUUGUGGUUCCCCAGAUAGCUGGAAUUUGCUCCAACAGGAUCUGGGAGAUGAUGAAAUGGGCAGGGUGUUCUCCUGUGUCCCAGUGAGGGCCUGGAGCGAUAGGUGACAUAGUUUUACUGUCCACCAGGCACCAUCUCUGGUAGAUCUCCAGCAAAAAGCAAAGCAAAGGUGAAAAGCAAAGCCAAAAUCCUAGAUGAGGAGCUUUUCUUAGUACAAAAUGCAAACAGAGUCAUGGCUCUGGUAGUUGAGAAGCAUCUGGAAAUCAGUGAAGCCUGGUGAGAGAGCCUGCAACAGAUUAAGAAGGAGCAGUGAUUUUACAUAGCAAUUCAGCCCCAGUCAUCUCUGGUUCACAAAGCCCUCGACACACUUAUCUAGAGAAGAGAGAGACUCCAGGCAGGGAGGAAACAGUGAUUUCCCUGAGUGGCAGACAAGCCCAUGUUGGCUGUGAAGGGUUUAGGCACAAACCCCAUCACUCCCUGGGACUCAUCUUUCUGUGUAACAUCCAGGAGCUGGCUUACAGGGAAGGAAACGCUGCGAGCCUGUGUUCAGUUCCAGCUCUCUGGGGGAGACUGAGUUCCAGGCUCACAGGAGACUGACAGCAAACACAGGCAGAGCUGAAAAAACAGCGCCUUGCCAAAGGUGGCACGAGCUCUCUGGGACAGACAGCCGUAGGUGGUUAUUUAUCUGUUACAUUAGAGCUGACUGAGAUCCAGACCCUGGAGAGCCGGGAUCCAGGAUAAAAACAGGGCUUGCCGCAAGACCCUGUGAGCUGAAUAGAAAUCAUGGCUAAAUAGGAGGAUGGGAAGAGAGACAGUUGUGUGAAGAGGCAUGGCCAGCAUCACACAGCAGGCAGUGCCACAGCCAGCGAGCCUUGGAGCAGUCUCUAGCUGGCAGAUGGGUUUAGUUGCAGCAAAUCAUCCAUUUUCAGAUUUUGCUGAUUUCACACAGUCUAAUUUUAAUAACAGAAGAAAAGAGUGAGACAUUUUUUCAUAAAUCACUUGUUCCUUUCCUUUGUUUUUCCUCCCAAGUAACUGCACUAGGUAACUGUGUUUCGGCCUUAGAAACAUGGAUAAUAUUUUAAU